UUUUUUUUUGGAGCUUUUUAAUUUGCUUUAUACACACUCUUACUAAUCUUACCAAAUAUGACUCUCAGUUAGAUUACAGAUUAUUUAGCUAAGGAAACAUGCAUGGUUUUUAUGCAUCCAUUAAGCUUCCAGUAAAUAGUGGUUAAACAAUUAUAUGAAGAACAGAUAUGUAAGAAUGCUUGAAAGUACUCUCUCAUGUCCUUAACUCAUACUGUAUUAUAAAUUAUGAUGUAAACCAUGUUAGCUUUUAUAGCAAUAACAUUGUAAGAAUAAGAAUGAUCCAUAAGACUUCAACAAUGUUACAAAUACUCCUUGAAUUUCUGUAGCAGAAAAUGGCAGUCUAAUAACCUAAAACUGCUCUAAUAGAGAUUAAAGAUUAAAAAUAAAGCAUAUUUAUUUUACCUGAAACAUGUAGCUAAUGGAGAGGUGCCUGCCAUUUGUUUCCCUAGCUACGUAACAAUUUUAUUCAACACAGGUCUAAAAAGUUCUACAUUUUUCUCUAUUCAUUUUUUCUUUCUUAUUUUUUCUCCCUUUCUUCAUGCUUGAGAUUAUUGAUUUAGAGUCCACUGAUGUUUCCCCAGAAGGUUUUAUAUAACUGAGUUUAUUGGACAAAUAAGUAACCCAUUAACAGCCCUAGCAUUUAACUAUGAAUCAACAUGCAAAGUUUGUUUAUAUUAAAUAAUUCUUAUUUAUGGGUCACAAUAAAUUCAAUCACGGGGAGUUCUGAGGAGAUUUCCAUUUCAAUUAGGCAGAUCUCAUUAUCAUGAUUUUAGUGAAACAGAAAAUACAUUAUAAGGUCAAAGUCAACAAGAAGAGACAAAGUGCAAAACCAAUAAAAUAAAACUGCAAUUUCAAGGAGUGAAUGGGUAGAAAUGACUAAGUUGUCAGCUAGAGGAAUACCUUGUCUUUGGAAAAUAUUACACUCAAUUGUGUAUAAAAUCAUACUUUUAAAUUUUGGAGAAAGAAUAAUUCAUAAAGUUAAUUUUUGCUAAUUAAGAUAGGUCCUGAUGAGGUGUCUUCCAUAACCAUCAAUAAGACUAAAAACAGGAUCAUUUUACAGAAAUGUUUAGUAUUUUCCUGAUGCAUUAACUAUAUAAUUCUGAAAUAGGAUUUAGGAAAAGUUUAUAAAAUAUAUAUACCUCUGGACAAAAAAUACUAAACUACUAAGUACAAAAACUACUUAUAUCAACAUAGGCCCAUAUCUCAUAAUUAUUUAAUGCUGUUUUAAAUUCCAUUUUAAAAUAUCUAUUACUCAGUUUCAUUUUCAAUUCCAUUCAAAAAUUAAAAUCAUGUGAAUCUACCUAAUGUUACAUAUAAAAUUAUUUUAUCUCAUGGUUUUUCUCUCAAAACUACAUAUGAUUCUCCUGUGUCUGAAAAAAGGUUCUAGGACUGGGUAUAACCACAUAGCUCAUUGGGCUAAAAGAAUGCUAAACACUAACUGGACUUACUUGUUAAGGACAUGUGAAUUCUUUAAAUAAUACUUUCCAACAUAUAACGAUUCAGUAUUAAUUUUGUAAAUCUGGGUUUUCCUAAAUUUGCUUGGCUUAUCAUAUAUAUAUCAUAUGUGGUAUUAGUUAUCAUCACUUGCCAAUUGUUCCAUGGAACAAUUUCAUGAAUAGGUAUUAUCUACCUAUGCUUUGGCAAUUUAUAGACACUUUUCCUUAAACAAAAUCUAAAAGGCUUUUUAUCUAAGAAUUUUCAGAACCUCUUUGUAUUUUGAUUCUCCAAUGGGCAGUUAUUCAAAAUUAUUAGUACUCUUUGAAAAAUUAUAUUUCACUCCUAUUAGAAACCUUACUUUGGAUAUCUAAUAGCAUUUUCAAUUCAACCCAUCAAAAAAUAAACACCUGAUAUUACUGCCAAAAUAGGACACUCAGAGCCUUCCUUAUCUCCCCAGAUAGCAACUUAGUCCUUCCUGAUUUGCAGGGCUAAAGCUAUGGAGUCAUCCAUGACUUGUCUCCGUCAACUUUACAUCAGGAAUGCUGUUGGCUCUAUUGUAAAGUACAUUCAUAUACUAACCUCUUCUUCCCACCAUCUCCUCUGCUAUCUCCGUCAUCAGGAACCAUCAUAAUGUUCACAUAGGUACUAUAUGCCUUUUACUGGUCUUUAGGACUUGACUUUACCCACUAAUGUCAAUUUUUCCUGCACCAGGUAGAAUGCAUUUCUUAAAAUGUUUUGAUCUGACCAUGUCAGUUCUCCAUUCAAACCCAAAGAUGGUUGCCACCUUACUCCACUAUAAGCCCAGUCCCUAAUAGAAGAUGCCUAGUCCUCAGGUAAUACUCUUCCUGGUACUUCCCCAUUAAAUCUCUGACUUCCUUUCUCAUCUUCUUUUCCUUUCUCCCUUCAAUCCAACCAUUCUGGCUUCCUUGCCAUGUCUCAGCCAUAUCAAACAUGAACUCACUGUAAGGCCUUGGCAUGGCUGUUCCCAGGAUAUAAAAUAUUCAUUGAUGUUGCUAAUCCUCUCACUUUCUUCAAGUUUUUGUUUAAAUGUCAGUUCCAGGAGACCCACACUGACCUUUCUGUUUGAAAUUAAAAUGUGCAUCUACCCUCUUUCAGUACUUUCUAACCUCAUAACACUGAUCUAUAUUUCAAUUUUCUCUAUAAAACUUAAUAUAAUUUAACAUACUAUGUUAUCAUUUUUUUUAUUACAGUUAUAGUUGUUUUUCCCUCUUUCCUGAGUCUAAGUCCAAGAGGGUGGCAUUAUUUUUUUGCUUUGUCCUUAAUGUAUAUCAGCACCUAGGACAGUGCCUGGCACACAGUGGGUACCAUGUAAAUGUAAAUAUGUGAAAUGAGGAGUGAAGGAAUGAAACAAUGAUCAGAUAUGCUGUUGCAUGCAGAGCUUCUAUUAGACCUGUUCUUCAGAAACCACUUGAACUUUGUUGGAUUAAGUAUGUGCAUAAAGUUCUUUGUGUGAAAAUAAGCACCUGCAUUCUAAAUGCUGCUUUUAUUUCCCUCAACAACCUAACAUAAUAUGACCACCUUGAGAAUUAUUCAUUGAAAAUAUCCUAGAACUAUUCUCAACUUCCAAAUACUAAUCAUCUUCCAUAUUGAUGCAAAUUUUACCUCAUUCCAAGAAGAAUUUGAGACAAUUUCUCAGUUCUCAUUGUGGAAAAUUUGCAUAAACAUUAAAAAUUUUUAAAUAUAUGGAAUUACCAGUUGUCUAGCCUAAAUGACACAUAGUGUACAUAAUCACUUUACCAGUUAAGUCCCAAGGCUCUUGUCUUUGUAUCUGGUGUUGGCAGUUAAAGUCUACAAGACAGACAGUGAGAGGGAAUGACGGACGGAAAGUAAGGGAAACUAAGAGAAGCUGUAACUGUCAAGUGUGAGCUGAUGUCCACAGGAAGGGCGGAAACUUGUGUCAAUUUUAUGUUAUAUAAUCUUAAUGGUAUGGAGGCCUUGCAGAAGUUGGGGCUCUUUGCCUUGGGGCUAAGUAUACACACCUGGCAAGGAAACAAAAAUGCUAAAGGAUUCAGGGGAAGAUGGCAGUUGUAAGCCUGGCCACUAAUUCAGUCCAGCAUGAUCAUCCAGCAGGGAAGCAAACAACACAGUAGUCAUUGUUUCAUCUUUGCCCCUAGAAUAUUGCAUAAGGGUAUUCUUUGCUGCCCACCCUAAAUCAGAAAUAUAUAGAAGGAGAAUUCAGGGAAAUAUAGUGCAAACUAGGUAAGUAAACAUUUGAGAAAGCUAAAACAAACAGCAAUUAAUUGACAGAUGUAUAAUAUUAUAGUUGAGUAUGCCUAGUAUAUACCUAGUAUAUAUAUAACUUAAACACAAGUGGCUCCCCAAGGAAUUUUAACUAUAGUAUUUUCAGGGUCAAAAUGUUUAGAAAGUAAACUCAAGCACAAAUAUGCGGACUAACUUCCUAAUUAAGUUCAGUUGAAUCAUCCUGAUGAAAGAAAACUGAAUUAUACCUUAAAUUUUUACCCUGCAAUUUAAUUCCUGGAAAGCAAAUUGCUAUAAGAAAUCUAUCUAGGUAUAAAACAAACCCCUGUAAAUAUAAUCAGUAAUAGAAACAGUUCUUCUAGAACUGAUUAAAAUGAUGUCACUGCCUAUUGACUACCAGAAAGCUUCCUAGGCCUUCAGACUUUACGUGCAUGACAAAAGGAAGUAUUUGUUAUUUUAAAAAGAGUUGAAAAAAAACAUUAUAAAUUUGGACAUAAAAAAAUUCUGCAUUCCCUGUAAACAUGAGAAAGAUGGUGUAUUAAAAUGGAAAGUUAUACUAUUUGUACUUGUUCAGUAAAUGUCGCCAUCAUUAUUCUUAGUUUGUUGGCAUAAUAAUGGAUCUUCAGAAAGGGUUAGGGAUGAAAUACCAAAACGAACACAUUUUUAAUACUUUCCAAUUCUCAUAUGUUUCCAUAAUCUUACCUCAAAUCAUGUUUGCCAGGGAUAUUGUUAUUCCAUUUAAUCAUCCAAUCUCAAAGCACUCGUUGAUUUCAAUUUGGUACAUAAUAUCUCAUGUUCUCCCUCAGAAAAAAUAACCAGGGCCAUCUAUUUCUCUGACUUUGACUGAGUGUUUCUAAGUAGCAAUAACAGAGACAGGAAGAACAUAUUCAGAGUAACUUUCACCUUACUCCAGCUAUGCCCAAAGGCACUGCAAACAGCUGAGCUGUGAUAGCCUCCUAACUCCCAGGGCACAGACACCAGUGCCUCAACAGCUUUACUUUUGUGUCUUCUCUUUCUCUUUGACACACAAAAUCAUUAUACACUAAGCCUAGUGAUUCUAUUUAAUGUAUGUAAGCAUUCAUAAUUCAUUUGAAAUGCAUAUUGAGGGGUGCCCAGGUGGCUGUUAGUUAAGCACCUGGCUCUUAAUUUGGGCUCAGUUCAUAAUCUCAGAUGAUGAGAUCAAGCUCCAAGACAGGCUCUGUACUCAGUGGGGAGUCUACUUGCAGUUCUCUCUCUCUGUCUCUCUGCCCCUCCCCCUGCUCAUACUCUCUCACAAAUAAAUAAAUAAACAAAUAAAUAAAUAUUUUUAAAAAUAAUAAAUAAAUAAAAUAUAUAUCAAUCUGUUGCAUUCCAAUCACAAUGAAAAGUGCUAAGCCUAAAGUCUUGGACAGAGACUAUGGGUCCUUCCCUCAUUGAGCUUAUAGGACAGAGGGCUCUUGAAUCCAUCUUGACUGAGAGAAGAACUGAAAUGAAACAAAAACAUUUAUUUGGCCUUAGGGGUUUUUAAAGACAAAAGGAAACACUUGUAUAUGUUGUUUACAAAGAAAUUCUGGUUGGUGUUGGCAGCAGAAGACUAAUUGGGUCUUAGGGUUAUCACUAUGCAAAAGUUUGUUACUAUAGUAAGUUGCAGGUUUUUUGGGCAGAGUCCUUGAAGCAUCUGUAGUUUGGCUGAGUUCAAAAGUUCAUGCACGGUUCCAGUAGUGAGGAUGUGCAGAAGGUCCACCUCUUCGAUGGCUUCUGAGCUCCAUUUUUAAACAUUUUGACAUAGGUGAUCCCAUUGCAUUUCACCUUUCACAGUUUCUUCAGCUCAGUUUUUUUUUUUUUUUUUAAGAUUUUAUUUAUUUACUCAUGAGAGACACACAAAGAGAGGCAGAGACAUGGGCAGCGGGAGAAGCAGGCUCCCUGCAAGGAGCCCAAUGUUGGACUUGAUCCCAGAUCCUGGGAUUACGCCCUAGCUGAAGGCAGACACUCAGUGCUGAGCUACACAGGAGUCCCUUCAAUUCAGUUUUUUAAAGACCAUGCAAAUCUCAUUUCCUCUGGCCUGGAAUAUUUCAACAGCCUAAUUACAGAAGACUUCUCUAUUCUCCCAUUAUAAAAGGCUUUUGGAAUUUAAUUCACAAGAUAACAGAGUUAUUUGUUAAAAUAACUUUUUUUUUCAUAUUUCUUGUUUUAUUUUGUUUGAUUUUUAUU
rnacentral:lncRNA from 1 species